ensembl:lncRNA novel transcript, antisense to PCDHA13
UCCCUCACCUUCACCUCCACAUGGAAAACCUGCAGAGGCCUGUCCACGAUCACCUCCAGGUGGAUGCUGCACUCCGCGCUCCGCCCACACAGCUCCUCGCGGUCGAUCCGAGAAUUCACAAACAAAAUGCCAUUCUGCAGAUUUACCUCCAGAAGGUCCCCGUGUCUUUUGGACGCCACCCGGAACAGGCGCGGCACCAGCUCCGCCAGCUCCAGCCCCAGGUCCUGAGCGAUGCGGCCCACGAAGGUGCCGUGUUUUGCUUCCUCGGGGACGGAGUAGUGGAGCUGGCCACUACCCGUCUCCCAGGCUGCGAGGAUCAGAAGCCAGAGCAGUAGUUGCCGCGGUCUUGGGCCUCCUUGCCAGGAAGACAGCAUGGUACACUCCAAAAACCUCAGAGCUAUCUGCAAUAUAUACAACGCCUUACCUCAAACUGUCUCUCAAGGCCCAAUUUUUAUGGCUUCCUAGUGCGGAAGGAUUCGCAAGAGGUAUUCCGCUUUCUGCUAUAUUUUCUGCAGGAAGAAAGAAACGGCGGCUUUCUUCGCGGAAACGUUCUCAGUGAAGAGCGACACCAUGCGCAUGAACGUGUAAGUGUUCAUCAGUCAUAUAAAAUAUUAUAG